rnacentral:rRNA from 1 species
UGCCAGACUCCUACGGGAGGCAGCAGUGGGGAAUAUUGCACAAUGGGGGGAACCCUGAUGCAGCGACGCCGCGUGGGUGAAGAAGUCAUUCGUGACGUAAAGCCCUAUCAGCAGGGAAGAAAAUGACGGUACCUGAGUAAGAAGCCCCGGCUAACUACGUGCCAGCAGCCGCGGUAAUACGUAGGGGGCGAGCGUUAUCCGGAUUUACUGGGUGUAAAGGGAGCGUAGACGGUUCUGCAAGUCUGAAGUGAAAGCCCGUGGCUUAACCGCGGAACGGCUUUGGAAACUGUGGAACUGGAGUGCUGGAGAGGCAAGCGGAAUUCCUAGUGUAGCGGUGAAAUGCGUAGAUAUUAGGAGGAACACCAGUGGCGAAGGCGGCUUGCUGGACAGUAACUGACGUUGAGGCUCGAAAGCGUGGGGAGCAAACAGGAUUAGAUACCCGGGUAUC